AUGGAACGUUAUCUCCAUAAAGGGUUACUCCACCGGCUUCAGGGGUUACAAACUCUCGUGGUGUGACGGGCGGUGUGUACAAAACCCGGAAACGUAUUCUCCGUACCAUGCUGAUUUACAAUGACUAGCGAUUCCUGUUUCAUGUAGUCUAGUUGCAGACUACAAUCCGAACUGAGAACAACUUUAUGGGAUUUGCUUGACCUCACGGUUUAGCUGCCCUUUGUAUUGUCCAUUGUAUCGCGUGUGUAACCAAAA
rnacentral:rRNA from 1 species